GCUCAGAUUGAACGCUGGCGGCAGGCCUAACACAUGCAAGUCGAACGGUAACAGGAAGCAGCUUGCUGCUUUGCUGACGAGUGGCGGACGGGUGAGUAAUGUCUGGGAAACUGCCUGAUGGAGGGGGAUAACUACUGGAAACGGUAGCUAAUACCGCAUAACGUCGCAAGACCAAAGAGGGGGACCUUCGGGCCUCUUGCCAUCGGAUGUGCCCAGAUGGGAUUAGCUAGUAGGUGGGGUAAAGGCUCACCUAGGCGACGAUCCCUAGCUGGUCUGAGGGGAUGACCAGCCACACUGGAACUGAGACACGGUCCAGACUCCUACGGGAGGCAGCAGUA
rnacentral:rRNA from 1 species